rnacentral:rRNA from 1 species
GGUCCAGACACAGUGAGGAUUGACAGAUUGAGAGCUCUUUCUUGAUUCUGUGGGUGGUGGUGCAUGGCCGUUCUUAGUUGGUGGAGUGAUUUGUCUGCUUAAUUGCGAUAACGAACGAGACCUUAACCUGCUAAAUAGCCCGUACUGCUUUGGCAGUUCGCCGGCUUCUUAGAGGGACUAUCGGCUCAAGCCGAUGGAAGUUUGAGGCAAUAACAGGUCUGUGAUGCCCUUAGAUGUCCUGGGCCGCACGCGCGUUACACUGACAGAGCCAGCGAGUAUUUCCUUGACCGGAAGGUCCGGGUAAUCUUGUUAAACUCUGUCGUGCUGGGGAUAGAGCAUUGCAAUUAUUGCUCUUCAACGAGGAAUCCCUAGUAAGCGCAAGUCAUCAGCUUGCGUUGAUUACGUCCCUGCCCUUUGUACACACCGCCCGUCGCUACUACCGAUUGAAUGGCUCAGUGAGACCUUCGGACUGGCCCAGAGAGGUGGGCAACUACCACUCAGGGCCGGAAAGUUGUUCAAACUCGGUCAUUUAGAGGAAGUAAAAGUCGUAAC